rnacentral:lncRNA from 1 species
CACAACAUUAUUAACAAAAGUUAAUACAUCAACGUUUACCAACAAACAAUAACAAUCAAGCUAGACUUAUAGUGGAAGAUUCAGAAAAAGUUAGACUUGUAUAAACAUCAUCAUCUCUCAAAACUCUGGAACUAGAAUGCAAAACAACCUGCAAUUAAAACUCGGAAAUAGGAUCAAUUAGAAACCGCUAUAUCAUCCGCACCCGACCGAAAACCGAUAAACCCGCAUUCAGAAUCACACUUUCGGGUCGGUCGAGNNNNNNNNNNNNNNNNNNNNNNNNNNNNNNNNNNNNNNNNNNNNNNNNUAUAUAUACACUUUUAUUUUUUCAAUUUUCAAAUAUGUGGUUCAAGGCACAUGCAGACUGCAAAGUGGCACUGCAGCCUCUGCACAUCUGUCUCUCCUGCCUCCUAAUAAUGUCUCACAACUACCAAGUACCACUACUAGUAUUUUUACUCCAUACAUAAUAGACUAUUUUUUUUAUUUAUUUUACUGCAUUCAUAUAUUUUUUCAGUUACACCACAACACAAGUAUGAACAUAUAGAUCCAAUAUACUCCUACUUUCUCUUUCUUUUUCUUUACUGAGAUGAUAAAAGACAAGUAGCCAACCACCCCUACUUUUUNNNNNNNNNNNNNNNNNNNNNNNNNNNNNNNNNNNNNNNNNNNACCCAUGGAAUCCAUUAUUUCUCUCUGUUCAUGCUCUCUUUUCAAGAGAAAUCUAUUUUUGCCCUUAACAUAAUCUCUAGAUCUCAAGGUUGAAGAUGACUAUUGUGUCUCUGAAGAUGUUGUGACACCCAAGGGUGGUUCAAUUGCUUUUGAUGGGAAUAAGUCUACUGUUGAGAAGAAGAUUGUGUCUUAUUCUACUUAUAUUCUCACCUUCUCUUCUGUAAUUUUUUUUAAUUUUUUUUUUUUAUAGUUGUGGCCCGAACAUAACCAUCCAAGAAAACCGUGACCCGCACAACCCAUGACCCGUCGAAACCGAAACCGAAGUGUGGAAUGGUCGGAAAUGGGUCUCAAAAUUGCUCUAUCAGUUUUACACAGAUGAGACAUUUCUGGCCCGAAACCGCCCACUGCUCAGCCCUUUUUAACAUAGUACGUAGUUAGGGAGAAAGUCUUUUAUAAGCACAAACUUAGGAACCAGAAUGCAACACAACGUGCAAUUAAAGCUCGGAAAUAGGAUCAGUCAAAAACCUCUAUGUAGAUAGGGAGAAAGUCUAGGCACAAACGUAAAUAAUAUUUGUUAGACACACUUACAUAAAAAAAAUAGUUAAAGUUAUAUAAAUUGAUGUGACAAUUUUAUUUUUAAUUUUUGUGAUUUGAUGUGCUGUCCAAAUAAUUGUGCCUAAGUAUCUAUGUAGUUAGGUAGAUAUUUUCUAUUAUUAUAAAAUUAAUAUAAACAUCUUAUUAUUUAUCCAUGCAAAAUCAUCUUAUUAUAAUAUAUGUAUAUACAUCAUGCCUCAACACAUAAGAAAACUAAAUAUCUUUGUCAAGAAAAGGACCUGGAAAAUAUAUAUAUAGUUUUACUAAGUAUCAUGAGGAAGACGGAGGGGAAUUUUCAAGCGCAUCUUUGAAGCCGGAUAGUGGUCCGCCACGCCGUGCCAACAGAUUCCACCUUUACAGGACGACAUGGUACGAGGUUGUUCUUGUUCUUGUUCGGGGACAAAUACACAACAACUAGGAUUAGUACUAAACUUCUGGAACAAAUCCCAAAUUAAGGUUGCCACAAAAAUAAAAGCCAAUAUGGUUGUGGACAGAGUCAACACAAACAUAAAGUUAUAGCACACCCCAUAAAUCUUAAGACACACGAUUAUUGCUAGGUAGAAUAUGGUAAGGUUACUAGCCACUAUAUCGCAAGCACCCAUAUAUUGAAAUUCAGUAUAAAACACAACAAAGAAAUAGUGAGUGAGUGAGAGAGUGAAUAAGGGAUUUUAUAUGAAUGAAAAUGAAAGUAGAUAGAUGUGUAUUAAUUGGGGGGUUUGUC